CAAAAUGUAGCUUAACAAAAGUCCCCCCGCUUACACCGGGAAAAUGUCCGUGCAACCCAGACCAUUUUGA
rnacentral:tRNA from 1 species